rnacentral:rRNA from 1 species
UUAAGCGACUAAGCGUACACGGUGGAUGCCCUGGCAGUCAGAGGCGAUGAAGGACGUGCUAAUCUGCGAUAAGCGUCGGUAAGGUGAUAUGAACCGUUAUAACCGGCGAUUUCCGAAUGGGGAAACCCAGUGUGAUUCGUCACACUAUCAUUAACUGAAUCCAUAGGUUAAUGAGGCGAACCGGGGGAACUGAAACAUCUAAGUACCCCGAGGAAAAGAAAUCAACCGAGAUUCCCCCAGUAGCGGCGAGCGAACGGGGAGGAGCCCAGAGCCUGAAUCAGUGUGUGUGUUAGUGGAAGCGUCUGGAAAGGCGCGCGAUACAGGGUGACAGCCCCGUACACAAAAAUGCACAUACUGUGAGCUCGAUGAGUAGGGCGGGACACGUGGUAUCCUGUCUGAAUAUGGGGGGACCAUCCUCCAAGGCUAAAUACUCCUGACUGACCGAUAGUGAACCAGUACCGUGAGGGAAAGGCGAAAAGAACCCCGGCGAGGGGAGUGAAAAAGAACCUGAAACCGUGUACGUACAAGCAGUGGGAGCCUCUUUUAUGGGGUGACUGCGUACCUUUUGUAUAAUGGGUCAGCGACUUAUAUUCUGUAGCAAGGUUAACCGAAUAGGGGAGCCGAAGGGAAACCGAGUCUUAACCGGGCGUUAAGUUGCAGGGUAUAGACCCGAAACCCGGUGAUCUAGCCAUGGGCAGGUUGAAGGUUGGGUAACACUAACUGGAGGACCGAACCGACUAAUGUUGAAAAAUUAGCGGAUGACUUGUGGCUGGGGGUGAAAGGCCAAUCAAACCGGGAGAUAGCUGGUUCUUCCCGAAAGCUAUUUAGGUAGCGCCUCGUGAAUUCAUCUCCGGGGGUAGAGCACUGUUUCGGCAAGGGGGUCAUCCCGACUUACCAACCCGAUGCAAACUGCGAAUACCGGAGAAUGUUAUCACGGGAGACACACGGCGGGUGCUAACGUCCGUCGUGAAGAGGGAAACAACCCAGACCGCCAGCUAAGGUCCCAAAGUCAUGGUUAAGUGGGAAACGAUGUGGGAAGGCCCAGACAGCCAGGAUGUUGGCUUAGAAGCAGCCAUCAUUUAAAGAAAGCGUAAUAGCUCACUGGUCGAGUCGGCCUGCGCGGAAGAUGUAACGGGGCUAAACCAUGCACCGAAGCUGCGGCAGCGACACUGUGUGUUGUUGGGUAGGGGAGCGUUCUGUAAGCCUGUGAAGGUGUCUGUGAGGAUGCUGGAGGUAUCAGAAGUGCGAAUGCUGACAUAAGUAACGAUAAAGCGGGUGAAAAGCCCGCUCGCCGGAAGACCAAGGGUUCCUGUCCAACGUUAAUCGGGGCAGGGUGAGUCGACCCCUAAGGCGAGGCCGAAAGGCGUAGUCGAUGGGAAACAGGUUAAUAUUCCUGUACUUGGUGUUACUGCGAAGGGGGGACGGAGAAGGCUAUGUUGGCCGGGCGACGGUUGUCCCGGUUUAAGCGUGUAGGCUGGUUUUCCAGGCAAAUCCGGAAAAUCAAGGCUGAGGCGUGAUGACGAGGCACUACGGUGCUGAAGCAACAAAUGCCCUGCUUCCAGGAAAAGCCUCUAAGCAUCAGGUAACAUCAAAUCGUACCCCAAACCGACACAGGUGGUCAGGUAGAGAAUACCAAGGCGCUUGAGAGAACUCGGGUGAAGGAACUAGGCAAAAUGGUGCCGUAACUUCGGGAGAAGGCACGCUGAUAUGUAGGUGAAGUCCCUCGCGGAUGGAGCUGAAAUCAGUCGAAGAUACCAGCUGGCUGCAACUGUUUAUUAAAAACACAGCACUGUGCAAACACGAAAGUGGACGUAUACGGUGUGACGCCUGCCCGGUGCCGGAAGGUUAAUUGAUGGGGUCAGCGCAAGCGAAGCUCUUGAUCGAAGCCCCGGUAAACGGCGGCCGUAACUAUAACGGUCCUAAGGUAGCGAAAUUCCUUGUCGGGUAAGUUCCGACCUGCACGAAUGGCGUAAUGAUGGCCAGGCUGUCUCCACCCGAGACUCAGUGAAAUUGAACUCGCUGUGAAGAUGCAGUGUACCCGCGGCAAGACGGAAAGACCCCGUGAACCUUUACUAUAGCUUGACACUGAACAUUGAGCCUUGAUGUGUAGGAUAGGUGGGAGGCUUUGAAGUGUGGACGCCAGUCUGCAUGGAGCCGACCUUGAAAUACCACCCUUUAAUGUUUGAUGUUCUAACGUGGACCCGUGAUCCGGGUUGCGGACAGUGUCUGGUGGGUAGUUUGACUGGGGCGGUCUCCUCCUAAAGAGUAACGGAGGAGCACGAAGGUUGGCUAAUCCUGGUCGGACAUCAGGAGGUUAGUGCAAUGGCAUAAGCCAGCUUGACUGCGAGCGUGACGGCGCGAGCAGGUGCGAAAGCAGGUCAUAGUGAUCCGGUGGUUCUGAAUGGAAGGGCCAUCGCUCAACGGAUAAAAGGUACUCCGGGGAUAACAGGCUGAUACCGCCCAAGAGUUCAUAUCGACGGCGGUGUUUGGCACCUCGAUGUCGGCUCAUCACAUCCUGGGGCUGAAGUAGGUCCCAAGGGUAUGGCUGUUCGCCAUUUAAAGUGGUACGCGAGCUGGGUUUAGAACGUCGUGAGACAGUUCGGUCCCUAUCUGCCGUGGGCGCUGGAGAACUGAGGGGGGCUGCUCCUAGUACGAGAGGACCGGAGUGGACGCAUCACUGGUGUUCGGGUUGUCAUGCCAAUGGCACUGCCCGGUAGCUAAAUGCGGAAGAGAUAAGUGCUGAAAGCAUCUAAGCACGAAACUUGCCCCGAGAUGAGUUCUCCCUGACCCUUUAAGGGUCCUGAAGGAACGUUGAAGACGACGACGUUGAUAGGCCGGGUGUGUAAGCGCAGCGAUGCGUUGAGCUAACCGGUACUAAUGAACCGUGAGGCUUAACCUU